AAGUCGUAACAAGGUUUCCGUAGGUGAACCUGCGGAAGGAUCAAUGCAGAAAUAUAUUAUUUAUAUGUUCGAGUCCCGGAGGGACGAGUGGAUGUUGGAGCGUCUAUGGUUUGAAGAGUGGAUGUUGAUAGCAUCUAUGAUUCGCUGAGUGAUGUUGAAGCGUCUAUGAUUCCCGAUCCGGAACAACUCAACACUUGCGCUUGAUUUGUUUGACAGUCUAAUGUAGGAUAAAAAAAGAAAACUUUUAACAAUGGAUCUCUUGGCUCUU
rnacentral:misc_RNA from 1 species